UUCCCUUGGGAACUUACUGAUCUCUUGCUGUACCCUUCUCCCGGUGACUCACAUAUGGUGUUCCUGCAGCCCACCUCUGCUCGAUGGCAAGGACGUUACUGCGAGGAUGGCCAAAGUUCCUGCGGAAGAGCAUGGAUUGAUCCCAAAGCCUGUGCUGGGCUGUAAGGACACUGUGUGUGUGUGUGUGUGUGUGUGUACAUGUGUGUGAGCACCUUUACACACCGUCCUCUGCCCAGCGUGGCACGCGGAGCUGCUGGGAGCCACCUCCUCGCGGUGACGCCAGGGAAGCUGCGUGCACCCCGUUGCACUGGAGGCUGGAUGUGACACCUGUGCUGAUGAGCUUAAAAACUACUUUCACAAAAAAUGAAAAAGAAAAGUUCCUGUUUGAGGGAGAACCAUUCAAGACUCCAGAUCCUUGAACAUUUCAGGGGCUCACUUGUGCACUCCAGAAGAGCAGAAAGGAGGAUAAGGGAGUGGAGGGGAAAAGGUGACUUCAUGGACCUUUGUGUGCUCUGACCCUUGAAGGCCACUUUGACUCAGGACUACCCUAAUCUACAGGCCACUGCCCAGCCCCCAGAUACCGACAGGGGCUAGGAAAGGGAUGAGGCUAGUUCUGGCUUUUAAGACAGCUGGGUUUGGCAGUAUAAAGGUGCAAUACGUCAUGCUAAGAAAGAAAAGAGGAAGGAAGAAAAGAGAAGAAAAGAUCUCCUUCAUGUCAUUGAACAUGUAUAAAAUGGCUUUAGUCAAGAGAAAAACAAGAUCCUCAGCAAGGGAAAAUAGCUCUAGUCAGCUGGUGCAAAUCCACAUCAUUCCACUGAAGAUCUGAGUCAGGAUGAGGUUUUAUUGCCUUAUAAUAGGGGAAAGCAUUUUGGCUCCAUAUCUGGAAGGUGGGAGUCCCGGGACAGUCCCUGGUGAGGACGCUGGAAGUGCAUCGCGGAGGGACGGAGCGGACCUUCAUGAUUUUGCCGAAGAACAAAGUGUUGCAGCAGAAGAAAGAGGCUGGGGCUGAGGCCUCCAAGACACUUGUGAGUGAGCUCUUUAGCUAGUGGGACAGGUUUCCACCUUUCCCUCUUGUGUGGGGGUCAAGACUUUACUCUUUGAAAGUACUGAGUAUGUGCUCUGUGGAAAGCAAGCCCCCUUCCAGUGUCUGAAGCAGAGUGGGCCAAAUCGGGGAUCGUUUUCAAGCAUUUAGGUCUGGGAAGGCUGACAUGUGCUGAACCUCUUAAACUGCAUUUCCUGUUGGACACAUGCUCGGCCUGUGAAAUCUGGAGGAAAAAUGCCAUAGACUGGGCCUGCAAGACAAGCCCUGAGAGCAAGAACGUCCCUGUUCUUCAGACUCUCCUGUUUGCUCCGGCCGGAGGGGGCAUGGUGGGAGCAGGGCAGCUCUGCAACAGCCGUGGUGGUUCAUUGCUAUGAAGGACAGAUCUACUGGCAUUUCAGAGCGAUCUACUGGCAUUUCAGAGCGACCUACUGGUCCUUGGGAGGAUAACGAUGAAAAGGUAAUAUCCCGUGCAUUCCCCACGCAGGUAUAAUGCUGUCCACGGUUGGGUUUCACUCUAGGGUUAGGUGACCCUCCAGGAAUAGGUCACUGUGAGGCUUUCAAGCAGGCUUAUGUUCUGGCACAGCUAAUUCAACUUGAAAAUGAUUAUUUUAUUUCUGACCUAGCCCUUUUGAAAUGUAAUUCAUCCAUGUGGCGUCUGAGCGAACAGAGGAUG